AGGCUCAGAUUGAACGCUGGCGGCAGGCCUAACACAUGCAAGUCGAGCGGAUGAGAAGAGCUUGCUCUUCGAUUCAGCGGCGGACGGGUGAGUAAUGCCUAGGAAUCUGCCUGGUAGUGGGGGACAACGUUUCGAAAGGAACGCUAAUACCGCAUACGUCCUACGGGAGAAAGCAGGGGACCUUCGGGCCUUGCGCUAUCAGAUGAGCCUAGGUCGGAUUAGCUAGUUGGUGAGGUAAUGGCUCACCAAGGCGACGAUCCGUAACUGGUCUGAGAGGAUGAUCAGUCACACUGGAACUGAGACACGGUCCAGACUCCUACGGGAGGCAGCAGUGGGGAAUAUUGGACAAUGGGCGAAAGCCUGAUCCAGCCAUGCCGCGUGUGUGAAGAAGGUCUUCGGAUUGUAAAGCACUUUAAGUUGGGAGGAAGGGCAGUAAGUUAAUACCUUGCUGUUUUGACGUUACCGACAGAAUAAGCACCGGCUAACUCUGUGCCAGCAGCCGCGGUAAUACAGAGGGUGCAAGCGUUAAUCGGAAUUACUGGGCGUAAAGCGCGCGUAGGUGGUUUGUUAAGUUGAAUGUGAAAGCCCCGGGCUCAACCUGGGAACUGCAUCCAAAACUGGCAAGCUAGAGUAUGGUAGAGGGUGGUGGAAUUUCCUGUGUAGCGGUGAAAUGCGUAGAUAUAGGAAGGAACACCAGUGGCGAAGGCGACCACCUGGACUAAUACUGACACUGAUGUGCGAAAGCGUGGGGAGCAAACAGGAUUACAUACCCUGGUAGUCCACGCCGUAAACGAUGUCAACUUGCCGUUGGAAUCCUUGAGAUUUUAGUGGCGCAGCUAACGCAUUAAGUUGACCGCCUGGGGAGUACGGCCGCAAGGUUAAAACUCAAAUGAAUUGACGGGCCCCCGCACAAGCGGUGGAGCUUGUGUUUUAAUUCGAAGCAACGAGAACAACCUUACCAGGCCUUGACAUGCAGAGAACUUUCCAAAGAUGGAUUGGUGCCUUCCGGAACUCUGACACAGGUGCUGCUUGGUUGUCGUCAUCUCGUGUCAUGAAAUGUUGGGUUAAGUCCCGUAAC
rnacentral:rRNA from 1 species